rnacentral:rRNA from 1 species
UAAUACGUAGGGGGCAAGCGUUGUCCGGAAUUAUUGGGCGUAAAGCGCGCGCAGGCGGUCUUUUAAGUCUGGUGUCUAAGUGCGGGGCUCAACCCCGUGAUGCACUGGAAACUGGGAGACUUGAGUGCAGAAGAGGAGAGCGGAAUUCCACGUGUAGCGGUGAAAUGCGUAGAGAUGUGGAGGAACACCAGUGGCGAAGGCGGCUCUCUGGCCUGUAACUGACGCUGAGGCGCGAAAGCGUGGGGAGCAAACAGGAUUAGAUACCCUGGUAGUCCACGCCGUAAACGAUGAGUGCUAGGUGUCGGAGGGGUCCACCCUGCGGUGCCGAAGUUAACACAUUAAGCACUCCGCCUGGGGAGUACGGUCGCAAGACUGAAACUCAAAUGAAUUGACGG